GAGGGCCCUGCCCCGUAGCGUGCAGACAAUUCAUUGAUUCUUUUGGCCCAGGCAUCGAUUUGGGAUAUUUCUGUUCUGCUGCUUUGUCAUCGUACCGGCAGGGUCGCAGGGAUGCUGGAGCCUAUCCCAGCAGUCACUGGGCGGCAGGCGGAGAGACACCCUGGACAUACCAUUCUCAUAUAUUGGUGCACAACAGUGUUCGAGUCUGGGUCUGACUGCGGCUCAAACAUGAAGUUCUGCCCUGCCAACCACUUGGUACUCCACCACUUCUAC